AGAGUUUGAUUCUGGCUCAGGAUGAACGCUAGCUACAGGCUUAACACAUGCAAGUCGAGGGGCAGCAUCAUCAAAGCUUGCUUUGAUGGAUGGCGACCGGCGCACGGGUGAGUAACACGUAUCCAACCUGCCGACAACUCUGGGAUAGCCUUUCAAAAGAAAGAUUAAUACCGGAUGGCAUAAUUAUUCCGCAUGGGAUGAUUAUUAAAGAAUUUCGGUUGUCGAUGGGGAUGCGUUCCAUUAGGCAGUUGGCGGGGUAACGGCCCACCAAACCAACGAUGGAUAGGGGUUCUGAGAGGAAGGUCCCCCACAUUGGAACUGAGACACGGUCCAAACUCCUACGGGAGGCAGCAGUGAGGAAUAUUGGUCAAUGGACGAGAGUCUGAACCAGCCAAGUAGCGUGAAGGAUGACUGCCCUAUGGGUUGUAAACUUCUUUUAUACGGGAAUAAAGUGAGCCACGUGUGGCUUUUUGUAUGUACCGUAUGAAUAAGGAUCGGCUAACUCCGUGCCAGCAGCCGCGGUAAUACGGAGGAUUCGAGCGUUAUCCGGAUUUAUUGGGUUUAAAGGGAGCGUAGGCGGGUUGUUAAGUCAGUUGUGAAAGUUUGCGGCUCAACCGUAAAAUUGCAGUUGAUACUGGCGACCUUGAGUGCAACAGAGGUAGGCGGAAUUCGUGGUGUAGCGGUGAAAUGCUUAGAUAUCACGAAGAACUCCGAUUGCGAAGGCAGCUUACUGGAUUGUAACUGACGCUGAUGCUCGAAAGUGUGGGUAUCAAACAGGCUUAGAUACCCUGGUAGUCCACACAGUAACCAUAAAGGUCGCUGUGGCGAUAUACAGUCAGCGGCCAAGCGAAAACAUUAAGUAUUUCACUUCGGGAGUACGCCGGCAGCGGGGAAACUCAAAAGAAUUGACGGGGGGCCGCACAAGCGGAGGAACAUGUGGUUUAAUUUGAUGAUACGCGAAGAACCUUACCCGGGC
rnacentral:rRNA from 1 species